rnacentral:rRNA from 1 species
AGCAGCCGCGGUAAUUCCAGCUCCAAUAGCGUAUAUUAAAGUUGUUGCAGUUAAAAAGCUCGUAGUUGAAUUUCGGGGUUAGUAGGUUGGUCAUGCCUCUGGUAUGUACUGGUCUCACUGAUUCCCCCUUCCUGAUGAACCUUAAUGCCAUUAAUUUGGUGUUUUGGGGAAUUUGGACUGUUACUUUGAAAAAAUUAGAGUGUUUAAAGCAAGCUAACGCUUGAAUACAUUAGCAUGGAAUAAUGAAAUAGGACGUUCGAUCCUAUUUUGUUGGUUUCUAGGAUUGACGUAAUGAUUAAUAGGGAUAGUUGGGGGCAUUAGUAUUCAAUUGUCAGAGGUGAAAUUCUUGGAUUUAUUGAAGACUAACUACUGCGAAAGCAUUUGCCAAGGAUGUUUUCAUUAAUCAAGAACGAAAGUUAGGGGAUCGAAGACGAUCAGAUACCGUCGUAGUCUUAACCAUAAACUAUGCCGACUAGGGAUCGGAUGAUGUUAAUUUUUUAAUGACUCA